rnacentral:rRNA from 1 species
CAAUAGCGUAUAUUAAAGUUGUUGCAGUUAAAAAGCUCGUAGUUGGAUUUCGGGGUGGCCUGCCUGGUCCACCGCAAGGUGAGUACUGGUCAGCCGCCCUUCCUCUCGAAAGCCCCGACUGCUCUUCAUUGCAGUGGUCGGGUAGUUCGGGACGUUUACUUUGAAAAAAUUAGAGUGUUCAAGGCAGGCUCUCGCCUGAAUACAUUAGCAUGGAAUAAUGGAGGAGGACCUCGGUCCUAUUUUGUUGGUUUCUAGGGCCGAAGUAAUGAUUAAGAGGGACAGUUGGGGGCAUUCGUAUUUAAUUGUCAGAGGUGAAAUUCUUGGAUUUAUGAAAGACGAACUAGUGCGAAAGCAUUUGCCAAGGAUGUUUUCAUUAA